UACAGAGGGGGCAAGCGUUGUUCGGAAUUACUGGGCGUAAAGGGCGCGUAGGCGGCCCGCUAAGUCGAACGUGAAAUCCCCGAGCUCAACUCGGGAACUGCGUCCGAUACUGGCGGGCUUGAAUCCGGGAGAGGGAUGCGGAAUUCCAGGUGUAGCGGUGAAAUGCGUAGAUAUCUGGAGGAACACCGGUGGCGAAGGCGGCGUUCUGGACUGCAACUGACACUGAGGAACGAAAGCCAGGGGAGCAAACGGG
rnacentral:rRNA from 1 species